CAGAACGUGAGUCGCACCGCGUCGUAUGUUUUACAAACGUCAUCGGUUUCCAAUGACGUUAUUCAGAUUAAUUCUACGGUCGAACUACGUCACAUGUCUGCCGUGCUUCUUCGAAGAUUUACAAACUCAUAACAGUAUAUGUGUCGUGUACAUAAUAUAACUAUGCGAAGUGAUUUUGUUGAAGCCACACCGCCGUAUGAAAAUGUAUCGAUUUAAUAAAGGAAAUUCGAAAUUUAGAAGAAUUAAAACGAGAACAGUAUAAUGCUAUAGAACAACCAGGAAACCGUGAAGAAUGCUCCAGGAUCUGCUCUCGACCCCAUUCCAGAAGAAAAUCAAAGGACAUGUUCCGGCAGAAGAGUUCAUUUUCCAGACCCUUUUCAAGCAGGCCCAGUUGGACUCCGUCAUUGGUAGGAAAGUAAUGUAGCGAAGACGAUAACAUGCGAUAAGCAUUCUCGAAUUUUUUCGUAUGAUUAAACACUCAUCGAGAACAUUCGAGAAUCAAUACCAAAUUAAUACCUAAAUUUUACCGUUCAAAAUUAUCAAGAAUGAUUGAAAACACUCGUGAAUGUUAUCGUCUCCCUAUAUACAACGGUAGACUAGCAGUCGUGACCCAGUUAAUCUUAUCUACUACACCACGCGUGAUAGUUGCCGUAUGAUUGUUUUGUUCUUAUAAUCUAGUGUGUGUACGAUAUUCAUAUUUUCAUCACACGUAUUUUAUUUGUAUUUGAUGUCUGCAUAUAAAAUAAGUAAGAAUAACAACAUGUAAUGGAAAUUUGAAUACCGUACACAUACUAGAUUACAAGAACAAAACAAUCAUUUUAAUUUCAAUUUCAAUUUUUUAUACGGAAACUAUCACGCGCAGCGAAGGUAAAAUUGACUGGGUCACAAUAACGUCUAUCGGUAUAUAUAUAUUUAGGGAGAUGAUAACUUUCACGAGUGUUUUCAAUCAUUCUUGAUAAAUUUGAACGAUAAAAUGUAAAUAAUUAUUUUGGUAUUGAUUCUCGAAUGUUCUCGUUAAGUUUGAUCGUACGAGAAGAUUCGACAAAACCUGUCGCAUGUUAUCGUCGUCGCUACAUUAUAAUU